GUGCCAGCAGCCGCGGUAAUACGGGGGGUGCAAGCGUUGUCCGGAAUCACUGGGCGUAAAGGGUGCGCAGGCGGGGCAGCAAGUCGGAGGUGAAAGCCCGUGGCUCAACCACGGAAGUGCCUUCGAAACUGUUGCUCUUGAGUCCCGGAGAGGCUGUCGGAAUUCGUGGUGUAGUGGUGAAAUGCGUAGAUAUCACGGGGAACACCAGAGGCGAAAGCGGGCAGCUGGACGGGUACUGACGCUCAGGCACGAAAGCGUGGGGAGCAAACAGGAUUAGAAACCCCAGUAGUCC
rnacentral:rRNA from 1 species